rnacentral:tRNA from 1 species
UCCUCGGUGGUCCAGUGGUUAAGACUCUGCACUUCCACUGCAGGGGGCAUGGGUUCGAUCCCUAGUUGGGGAA